rnacentral:rRNA from 1 species
UACAUGGUUGCUUACUGCGGGUAACGGAGAAUCAGGGUUCGAUUCCGGAGAGGGAGCCUGAGAAACGGCUACCACAUCCAAGGAAGGCAGCAGGCGCGCAAAUUACCCACUCCCGGCACGGGGAGGUAGUGACGAAAAAUAACAAUACGGGACUCUUUUGAGGCCCCGUAAUUGAAAUGAGUACACUCUAAAUCCUUUAACGAGGAUCAAUUGGAGGGCAAGUCUGGUGCCAGCAGCCGCGGUAAUUCCAGCUCCAAUAGCGUAUACUAAAGCUGCUGCGGUUAAAAAGCUCGUAGUUGGAUCUCAGUUCCAGACGAGUAGUGCAUCUACCCGAUGCGACGGAUCGGAGUGAACAUCAUGCCGGUUGUUUCUUUCUUCGGUGCACUAUCUUGUGUGCCUCGAGAUGGCCGGUUCUUUUAUUUGAAAAAAUUAGAGUGCUCAACGCAGGCGAGUCGCCUGAAUAAACUUGCAUGGAAAUGAAUAACAAGACCGUCGUUUCUCUGUUGGUUUUUGGAAUACGAGGUAAUGAUUAAGAGGGACGGACGGGGGCAUUCGUAUUGCGGCGCUAGAGGUGAAAUUCUUGGACCGUCGCAAGACGAACUACUGCGAAAGCAUUUGCCAAGAAUGUUUUCAUUGAUCAAGAACGAAAGUCAGAGGUUCGAAGGCGAUCAGAUACCGCCCUAGUUCUGACCAUAAACGAUGCCAACCAGCGAUCCGCCUGAGUUACUCAAAUGACUCGGCGGGCAGCUUCCGGGAAACCAAAGUAUUUGGGUUCCGGGGGAAGUAUGGUUGCAAAGCUGAAACUUAAAGGAAUUGACGGAAGGGCACCACCAGGAGUGGAGCCUGCGGCUUAAUUUGACUCAACACGGGAAAACUUACCCGGCCCGGACACUGGGAGGAUUGACAGAUUGAGAGCUCUUUCUUGAUUCGGUGGAUGGUGGUGCAUGGCCGUUCUUAGUUGGUGGAGCGAUUUGUCUGGUUAAUUCCGAUAACGAACGAGACUCUAGCCUAUUAAAUAGGUGCGGGGUUCCCAGCACCUUACAACCUUCUUAGAGGGACAAGCGGCUCCUAGCCGCACGAAACAGAGCAAUAACAGGUCUGUGAUGCCCUUAGAUGUCCGGGGCCGCACGCGCGCUACACUGAAGGAAGCAGCGUGUCUUUAUCCCUGUCUGAAAAGACUGGGUAACCCGUGGAACUUCGUGAUUGGGAUAGGGGCUUGCAAUUGUUCCCCUUGAACGAGGAAUUCCCAGUAAGCGCGAGUCAUAAGCUCGCGUUGAUUACGUCCCUGCCCUUUGUACACACCGCCCGUCGCUACUACCGAUUGAAUGAUUUAGUGAGGUCUUCGGACCGAUGUCCGGCGCGGCCUUUCGGUUGCGCCGGUCUGUUGGAAAGAUGACCAAACUUGAUCAUUUAGAGGAAGUAAAAGUCGUAACAAGGUUUCCGUAGGUGAACCUGCGGAAG